rnacentral:rRNA from 1 species
CCAAUAGCGUAUAUUAAAGUUGUUGCAGUUAAAAAGCUCGUAGUUGAAUUUCGAGACCGGUUUAUUGGUCGUGCUUUUGUACGUACUGGUAUAAUCGGUUUCUCUCUUCUGACGAACUAUAAUGCCAUUAAUUUGGUUGUUAUAGGGAAUCAGGACUGUUACUUUGAAAAAAUUAGAGUGUUUAAAGCAGGCUCACGCUU